UACAGAGGUCCCAAGCGUUGUUCGGAUUCAUUGGGCGUAAAGGGUGCGUAGGCGGCGCGGUAAGUCGGGUGUGAAAUCUCGUGAGCUUAACUCCGAAACUGCAUUCGAUACUGCCGUGCUUGAGGACUUGAGAGGAGACUGGAAUUUACGGUGUAGCGGUGAAAUGCGUAGAUAUCGUAAGGAAGACCAGUGGCGAAGGCGGGUCUCUGGACAGUUCCUGACGCUGAGGCACGAAGGCCAGGGGAGCAAACGGG
rnacentral:rRNA from 1 species